rnacentral:misc_RNA from 1 species
GAUGAAGAACGCAGCGAACUGCGAUAAGUAAUGUGAAUUGCAGAAUUCAGUGAAUCAUCGAGUCUUUGAACGCACAUUGCGCCCCCUGGCAUUCCGGGGGGCAUGCCUGUCCGAGCGUCAUUGCUGCCCUUCAAGCCCGGCUUGUGUGUUGGGUCGUCGUCCCCCCCGGGGGACGGGCCCGAAAGGCAACGGCGGCACCGCGUCCGGUCCUCGAGCGUAUGGGGCUUUGUCACCCGCUCGAUUAGGGCCGGCCGGGCGCCAGCCGGCGUCUCCAACCUUCUAUUUUACCAGGUUGACCUCGGAUCAGGUAGGGAUACCCGCUGAACUUAAGCAUAUCAAUAAGCGGAGGA